rnacentral:rRNA from 1 species
AUUGAACGCUGGCGGCAGGCCUAACACAUGCAAGUCGAGCGGAUGAGUGGAGCUUGCUCCAUGAUUCAGCGGCGGACGGGUGAGUAAUGCCUAGGAAUCUGCCUGGUAGUGGGGGACAACGUUUCGAAAGGAACGCUCAUACCGCAUACGUCCUACGGGAGAAAGUGGGGGAUCUUCGGACCUCACGCUAUCAGAUGAGCCGAGGUCGGAUUAGCAAGUUGGUGAGGUAAAGGCACACCAAGGCGACGAUCCGUAACUGGUCUGAGAGGAUGAUCAGUCACACUGGAACUGAGACACGGUCCAGACUCCUACGGGAGGCAGCAGUGGGGAAUAUUGGACAAUGGGCGAAAGCCUGAUCCAGCCAUGCCGCGUGUGUGAAGAAGGUCUUCGGAUUGUAAAGCACUUUAAGUUGGGAGGAAGGGCAGUAAGUUAAUACCUUGCUGUUUUGACGUUACCAACAGAAUAAGCACCGGCUAACUUCGUGCCAGCCGCCGCAGUAACAC